CUUGUAGGAGGAUGUUGUUAUGUGCAUCAGCACUGUAAAGUCUAGCACCCUUCGCACUACCUUUGGCACAGGAAGCAGGGAAACAGCGAGCCAACAAUAACACAGGCCUGGGUAUUUCCUAUCUCAGCACUCUCGCAGCUCGGCUUCACCGCCGCCUGCAGUUGUUAUCUUUAGGAAGUACAAGGUGGAGGAGAGGGAAAGCUUAUCUGGCUCGCAUCCGAGUUAGAAGACGCGGCGCUCCUCCCCGUACACCUUGGGAACAUUGUCACGGAGGGGUCACGUCCGCUCAGAUUCAAUGCCAGCGACUGAACUGGGCCCGUGACCUACGCUGUCCUCUACAUCUCUUUGUUUGUGGCAUAAAACCGACUCAGCUGAUUUCCUUCAAAGCACAGGCAUCUCUAGGAAGAUACCCAAGUUGAACAAUACUCCUGAAAUCACCGCUGCAGAAUUAGUGGCUAUUUUGACUCACAAGGAAAAAUGUAAAUGUAAAAAUCCC
rnacentral:lncRNA from 1 species